GACGGGUGAGUAACGCGUAGGAAUCUACCUAGUAGAGGGGGACAACAUGUGGAAACGCAUGCUAAUACCGCAUACGCCUUUAGGGGGAAAGGCCGGGAUCUUCGGACCGGUCGCUAUUGGAUGAGCCUGCGUAAGAUUAGCUAGUUGGUAGGGUAAAGGCCUACCAAGGCGACGAUCUUUAGCUGGUCUGAGAGGAUGAUCAGCCACACUGGAACUGAGACACGGUCCAGACUCC
rnacentral:rRNA from 1 species